ensembl:lncRNA
GUGGAAAACAUGGGAUUUCCCUUUACUGCACAGCCUGGUUAGCAUGGGUGUGCUCCUGUCAGCAAUACCGCAGGUGAGCUGGGGAGAGCUGCUGUGCCAGGCUCCAGCUUCACUUGCCUGCUGCACUGUGGUGCUCAGGAGCUCAGCUGGCGAUGGGACAGGGCUCCAGUGCAGGAGCAGGCUCUUUUCCUCUCCUGCCUCCUUCCCAGAGCCAACCCAGGCUCCACCUUGGCCCACUCUGGAUGUAAAGCAGCCAUGAAUCAUCUCUUGAAGACCCCAGGCACUGCAGUCUCCCUGGCUUGCAAAUCCUUGGAGGUUACCACCACUGAGCCCCCGAGUGCCCUGGGCACAGCAGCACUGGGGGCUCCAGAUCUCCUGUCUCUUGUCCAUUGGUCCCCAGGGUGGAUUUCACAGCUGAGCUACCCCAGCCGCAGCUGUAAAAGCCCAUUCCCACAGGACCUUCUCUUCUUGGUCCCCUGGCAGCGCCGGGUCUGGUGCAGGAUGGUGGGAGAGCUCAGGCUCUACGGACAGGCUGAGGGAAGGGGCAGGGGCACCCCAGCCCACAGGGAGGCACUGGGGGUCCUCUGAGGAUGCGCAGUGAAGGACAGGGUGUCCCAGGUUCAAGGGGAGCUGUACAGGUUACCCCAAAGGGCUGCACCACUGUGGAGUUAGGAGCUGGCAGCAGCAGGCUUGCCAGUCCAUGUGGGUGCUGGCUGGGUGAGGAGCAGUGGUCAGGUCCUCCUCUUCCCUCGCCACUCCACCGCCAGGCCAGCACACGGGAACGCUGUCUGCAGGUCCCUGCGGAGCUUUGGACAACAGCAGCUCCUGCACCGUGGUGUUGCCCAGGUCCAGGGGCACAGUUAGCCGCAGUGACAGAAAGAGGUGAGAUGAACCUAGGGCUGCACUGAGAGUCCCAGAUACUGUUGACAUGCCUGGGGCUGACCCCAUGGUUGAGUUGGAGAUGCCAGGGGUGCUCCCGGAUGUGGGGCUGCUGCUGGACACCUCCGUGCUGCUAAUGGAGAAGGCUGUGCUGUCUGUCAGGGUUGUCAAGGGCUCAGCUGAAGCGGCUGUCGGUGCUGGUGCAGUGACAGCAGGCGUGGUGGAUGGUGAGAAACUGCUGGUCUCUGGGGUUGUGCUGGACCUCUCCAGGGUAGAGGUUUCAGGGCUGGAAGGAGGGAGGGUGGCUGCAGUGGUGGGGUCAGUGGUGGGCAGCCGUGCUGAGGUCUCCAUAGGUGUCAGGGAGGUAGGGACACUCGUGGACACGGCUGCUGUCACAUCUCCCUUACCCAGCACAAGGUGCAGCACAGCGAGGCGGGUGAAGCUCAGCAGCAGCAGGGGCAGGGGCAACCUCCUGCUCUGCCCAGCCAUGUCCAGGUGGGUGGGAGACGAUGGGACCCUGCAGGCACCAGUCCAAGAGCUCCCUAUAUCCCCAGCACUGGGAUUUCCUGGUCUCCUUUGCCCAGCAGAGAAGGAGCAUCCAGGUGAGUCCUUUCACUCCCCAGGUGUCAGCAGCAAUGGGGGGGUUUCCACCCGACACGGAUACUCCCAGGGAGCGGUGUGGUGCCAGGUGGACAUCAGCUGCACGUCUGGACCCAGAGGAGCCACAAGCAGCAGGCAGGGCAGGCCGGCAGGGCCACCACUGCAGCCGGGGACCGUGCAGUCCUUGCCUCCUGAGGGGACGGUGACAACGGAAAAAAGCCCAGAGAAGCAGCCAGGCUGCCUGAGACCGUCCCUGCGCUCCGCCACAGGG